UACGUAGGCAGCAAGCGUUGUUCGGAGUUACUGGGCGUAAAGGGUGCGUAGGUGGCUCUAUAAGUAUGGUGUGAGAUCUCCCGGCUUAGCUGGGAGGGUGCGCCGUAGACUGUGGGGCUAGAGUGUGGGAGAGGAAAGUGGAAUUCCUGGUGUAGCGGUGAAAUGCGUAGAUAUCAGGAGGAACACCGGUGGUGUAAACGGCUUUCUGGACCAUAACUGACACUGAGGCACGAAAGCGUGGGUAGCAAACAGG
rnacentral:rRNA from 1 species